rnacentral:tRNA from 1 species
UGGGGGUUUAGCUCAGUGGUUAGAGCACCCGUCAAUUGAACGGAAGGUCGUUGGUUCGAUUCCAGCAACCCCAA